AAUCGACUGAGCUGCCAAACAUUUUAAGUCUGUUACAGCCUGAAUACUCCCAGGGAUUCAGUUAUUUCUGCUUUUGGUCCACCAGUGGGACAUACUGACCACAGUGGAAAAAGGGAGUUUGAAGAUACUUCUAGGGCACUGACUUGCACCCUGGCAGUGCUGGAUAUUGCUCAUGGAUGCCAUCGUUUUCAGCAGAAAGCUUAAUGAGCCCACCAAAGCUCCUAACAGGGCAAUCGACCCUGGUCGGAACAACGCACAGCACUACUUCGCAACUGAGCUAAGACUUUUGUGGGCUGAAGCUGCGUACUCAAGGGAAGCAGCUGUUAACUGGCUUAUUUAAUGCAAAUGCAAUUCCUGAAGUGACGGUCAUUUAGGCCACAGGUAAGCAAAAUUAGGCUUACUUUCAAUUUAUUGUAAAACGACUUGUAAGAACAUGGUUCUGCAGUAAUGCCCACUAUAUUUAAAACAACUACCCCCUAUUUUUUUAUUAUAGCUAAUUGAAAUUUAAGUACCCAAAUGGAAGGAAACUGAUUACACUUAAGACAAUCUAUUGCCACAGGACUUAAUACUAUUGCCUACAGAAGGCACUACAAACUAGGUAAAAAGAAAACUCCUCUUACAAGAGAGUUUCUAAAAACUGCUGUAGAAAUCUGCUCCUGUUUGCCUGUCAUCUGUUCUUUGGCAUUCAGAAACCCAGAUGCAGGAAAAAAACUACUGCAAUAUGCCUACCUUCUCUAGUUAGAUUAAGUGCACAUGCUACCAUGGUAACCUAAACUUAUUUUCUUACUUUACUCUGUAGGAAUGAAAACUGAUUUAAUUCUCCAGAAGGUUGCCACAGUGAAGACAAGUACAAAAAGCAAUACAUUAUUAAAAGUCAUAAAAGUUAGCUGUUUCUCAUUCUUGUAACUCAAAACCAUGUUCUUCACCAGCGACGUGAAAGAAGACUACCCUUAAUGCAUUGUUUUUAAUAGCCAUGGAACAGCCUUGACUUCCGUUGCAAAGACAAAGACAAGUGGCUAAGCAGACCUUUUCCUCCCAAAAAACAUACCUGCUGUGUAAUUCACACUCUAGUGUUACAGAUCAUCUUUUCCAAACAUGUUUGGAAAAAAAGUCAUCUAUAGUAAGUUUAGAAUAUAAAAAUUGGACUUAACUGGAAAGAAAGAUACAGCUACCAACCCGUGGGGAGUGCUCCACUGUUCUGCCUUUCUAACCAUUUGUAAAGAAUAUAAAGAUGACAAGUUUAUUCGUCUCUGGGUUCUGGUGCAUCAACAUGAUCUCAAAGCGCUAACGUUUAUAAGAAAUUAAAAAACACCCCCACAUUUAAGACAGAGUUUUGUGUUACUUUAAGGGUCAAGAGACUGCUCCAGAAACUGGAAACAGUUACCUCAUGACUGCUGAACAGUCAGAGUAUGCUUUAAAACUUAUUUUGCAUUGUUAUCGUGGGCAUCCUUUUGACACAACAAGUCUAAAGGCGGCCCUAAUGUUUUGCACAUGCCUGAAAUACAGGAAAACAUUCAGUGGUUUGUUAAUGCAAGAUCAAAUGCAAUACGCACGAGUAUACUUUCUUGCUUCAAUGCUUCAGUAAGUAUGUGAAGAUUUUAAGGAAGUGAAGACUUUAAGGAAGAAAAUAUAAAAUUAUGAAUCUGAAGAGCUAAGUCCUAAAAAUAUGUGACUGUGGGGAAAUCUUUCAAUGGAUAAACAAUGAGUCUUCCCCCAAAAAUGCACAUUAGUAAAUGGAACAACAUUCCUUGGCUCAAAUUAACAAAUUUCAUUGUCCGCAGAAAUCCUCCAAGCCCAUGGACUACUUUCAUGGGUUCUGUUGUAAGUUCACAUUUACCAAAAAUAAAUUUGUGUUUCUGUAGGAAAAAAAAAAAAAGGAAAACACAAACUGGAAAAGACUAAAUAUCACUCAAGAGCUUGGCUUUAUCCAGGCUGCAAGCACAAUCGUACUUCUCAUGGCUUAAGUUUGCUAGACAGAAAGAUGACAAGAAUUAUGUUGUGUUUUUUUUUAUAAACCUUUCUUAUUCAGUAGCUCAUUUUUACCUUUUAUAUUUACAUACUAGUUUACAUCAGGAAGAAUAAGAAUUGAUUCCAGGUUUCCUGUUAAAAGGAUCACUUGUCCAACCAUCUGAAACACAGUUACUUCUGGAGCACCAAGUUAAACACAGUUGAAUACUAUUCAGUGAGAAAAUCUCGUAACAUUGACUUCAAAUGCCUGAUGUUAAGUUCAAGGUCAAAAAUUUAGGAGGAUUUGGGAUACUCAUAUCUCCAUAACUUUCAGACCUUGCUGUCUGAUUCUUUUUUUUUUAAAUCUUCAUUCAAAAUGCCAAUGUACAGUAGAUUUUCUGCAUGCACCUACCUUCCUAUACAAAGCCAUUUGCUAUCUGCUCUGAACAGCACAGAAUUCUACACUUACCUCACUACUUUUGCUUUUGGGUUGGCGUGGGAAGAGGAGAGAGAAAUUUCUCAGAUAAUAAAAAUUCACCCUGAUAGCAACCAUAACUUUUCUAACACAGAUCGGUGUUUAUGAUAUUGUCUGUACUGUUCAUGCACAAACAUCUAUUUGGUGGAUUAUUUAGGAAAAAAUGUAAGGUACAAUUAAAUCUUAAUUGACUAAACCCUACAAAAGUAACAUUUCAGAUAUAUCCUAGGUUAUGUAUUGUCAUAGUCUCCCCUCCCAAAAUUAAAAAGACCUGGAAUUCAGUCAAAUGUUUCUAAGCAUCCUCACUAGUUUUCAAAACAGGAUUUGUUAUUUUAAUGGUCUUGUUUUAAAAUACCAUUUCUACAAAAUUCUCUUUUAAGCAGUGUUAUAUUCCUCUUGAGUCAGCAUGUGCCCAAACUCCACAUCCCCUGAAAGCUACAGUAUUCAAACAACUUUAAAGACAUUUAAAAAGAAAUCUUUUUCCUUUGUCAUUCCUUAGUAACAGGGGACUGCUGAGCAAAUCUUAGAUCCCAUUUUUCAUAAGUUCAUGAAAGUAGAGAGGUAGUCAGCAGUCCAGCUUUAAUAAAAGAUCAAAACUAGCUAUGAAAAUGGUAAGAGCUGUUCAAUACUACUCCUAAUCUUAUCUAAGAAUGCAUAGCUAUGCACAGUCUGAAUUUUUGAACAUUAUUAUUGGUUUCUUAUUGAAGUGUUCCUCGACGAGUGAGGACAAUAAACUAAUAAAAGAAAUUUCAAGAAGAAAUUAAAAUGAACCAAAAUAAAAAUUAGACUCUCAGCCAGUUACUAUCUAGCUUAGAAAUAACCGUACUCUUGCAAGACAUGCAUCUGCUCUUUCUAUACAUCACCUCUAGUGUAAAGAGAUAAGCUGUUGGUUUUGAACUGCGUCCUGAGACAAACUGGCUGCCACCACAGCUCAUGUCAUCUCCUCAUCCCCUUCCACAGCCACUGGUGCACACUGGAAAAGAAAACUGAAUGCUGGAAAUACACCAAUGGAAAUGAGGAAAGGGAGUAUUACCCAUCACCCCCAUUUUAAUUUUCAGUCAAAAAGCUACUCCCAUUGCCCUGGCAGCGCAGUAACCAUCUUCUUUAAGCUCUCAGAAGAAUUAUCUGACCAACAGGAAUUGUUAGAGGCGUUUCCAUUUCAGCUGUCACCAGAAGAUGCUACUAACCAGCACACAGCAAAAAAAAAUAAAUAUCAAGUUGCUCGAGUCUAAUUGUCUUAGUAAAGUUUUCCAAAUCCAGAUCUCUGAAAGAGCAGAAUAAUUGAAGACAUAACGUUUCUUAAGCAAUGGUCUAACACUUGGUUCCUUAAUUGACACUAUCAUUGUGACAUCUCCCAGGACGUGGCCACUUCUCCAAAAACAAUGAGCCCCACUGGGACAGAUCUCACAGGAUGUGACUCGAAGCUAUGUCUCAGGCCCCAAAUUCUCCAAGUCUGCUCAGCAAUAGCUGAAACAUAGCAAAUGAGACUAUACUUUUCUGGAGUCAGAUCAGCUUGGAAGCAGACAGCUGAGUACAGCGCAUGCUUACCCAGUGCACAGAAAAAGCUCAGUCAUUAUUUGAAAUUAUCUCUACAAAACAAACAACUGAAGUCUUAAUAAGUAUAAUCUGGACUGUUUCUAUCAAACUACAAUUUGUAGCUGACCUUCAACAGUUGAGUAAUUUUUAAUUCAUCUAUAUAUAGCUACAGUAAAAUGCUCCAAAAAGGGGUUUACGGCAGUCAGACUCAGAACAAGGCCCCAACAGUAAAAUUUUUCCUUCCGCUUCAUCUGCAAUCCAGGAGGAGGUUGUGAAGACUUAGGAGCGGUGCUACUGACAGCCAUGAGCAGAGUGUGGGGAUGCUUUCCCAAACGCAGCCAACAGGCACUUCUCUUUGUUACUCAGGCAGUUGCACUGGUCAGUGAGGAAAUCCAUUGGGCAGACAGCUGACAAACUGUUGUCCUUUCUGAGUGACAUUCAGGCACGUGCCAGAUUAAACAGUUUCACUGCUGCACAAUCACCUUAAAGCACUAAUGCUAACACGUUAAAGGAAAAUUUAAAAUACACAAAUCCAAGUAAACUUUAUACAGUUUCAUGCAUGUGAAGAGUCUGAUUUGCUAAUCUUGUCAAAAGAACUGUAAGUGAGUGGCGAUCCUCAGUUUGGAGCAUCCCAGUGGAGAUACGAUUUUUCAGACAAAAGGCACCGCUACCCUCCCCGUCCCAAUUCAAUGGCUCACAAUAAAAAGACGAAAAUCAAAGCACUCAAACUCUGUCACUUGUGACUGUUUGUUGUCACUAUUGAUUGUUGUUGUUGUUUUGUGGGUUUUGUUGGGUUUCCUUUUGAAAAUAAUUCAAACACUUAUCGAGUUAAGAAGCAGAAUAACAAGUUUCACUCUAAUGCAAACUUUAUAGUUAUAGAUUUCCCACAGGUCAGCAGACUUGACAGACUCAAAGUGUCAGAAAAUCAUUCAAAACUGUCAAGUAGUAUGGUGCACAUUUUUUC